rnacentral:rRNA from 1 species
GGGCCUACGGGAGGCAGCAGUGGGGAAUAUUGGGCAAUGGAGGAAACUCUGACCCAGCGACGCCGCGUGAGUGGAUGAAGGCCUUCGGGUUGUAAACCUCUUUCAGUAGGGAAGAAGCGAAAGUGACGGUACCUACAGAAGAAGCACCGGCUAACUAUGUGCCAGCAGCCGCGGUAAUA